rnacentral:rRNA from 1 species
GAUGAACGCUGGCGGCGUGCCUAAUACAUGCAAGUCGAGCGAACAGAUAAGGAGCUUGCUCCUUUGACGUUAGCGGCGGACGGGUGAGUAACACGUGGGUAACCUACCUAUAAGACUGGGAUAACUUCGGGAAACCGGAGCUAAUACCGGAUAAUAUUUCGAACCGCAUGGUUCGAUAGUGAAAGAUGGUUUUGCUAUCACUUAUAGAUGGACCCGCGCCGUAUUAGCUAGUUGGUAAGGUAACGGCUUACCAAGGCGACGAUACGUAGCCGACCUGAGAGGGUGAUCGGCCACACUGGAACUGAGACACGGUCCAGACUCCUACGGGAGGCAGCAGUAGGGAAUCUUCCGCAAUGGGCGAAAGCCUGACGGAGCAACGCCGCGUGAGUGAGGAAGGUCUUCGGAUCGUAAAACUCUGUUAUUAGGGAAGAACAUACGUGUAAGUAACUGUGCACGUCUUGACGGUACCUAAUCAGAAAGCCACGGCUAACUACGUG